ensembl:lncRNA
CCAGCCCGAGAGAGAGGGAGAGGGAAAGGGAAAGGGAGAGAGAGAGAGAGACUUUCCCCCAGCCACCCCCACCCCUUUUUUCUUUUUUUCUCCGAGGCUGCACUUUGGAAGAGAUCAUGUAGAAAGGACAGAAAGUGAGCAGGGACCGGGGGCUUUUGUCUAUUGUUCUCCUUGUGCUACUUGAGAGAAACUGCAAUCGCAAGACUUAACAGAAUCUAAAAAUGGUUUAUCAACCAAGGUCAAUGACUUGGGUAAGCCAGAAAAUCUUUCCAGCCAGUGGAGGGGAUGGGGGAUUUCCAAAGGGGAAUCUCCCCAUCUCGAAGGAAGUGAAUCGCAAGAAAAGUGAGGCGGAAGGGGAGUACCUGGUUCCAGUAAAUGGCUAUGGACGCCACUUCACCAAAAUCAAUUACCUCAACUCUUAUUAAACAUUAUUUCUCCAUUCGUAUUACAUAUGGUGUAUGGGUUUGAUGAGGUCAUGGUGUCAUAUCUUGGGGAUUGUUUUUGUGUAAAUCAUCAAGUGUAAGAAGAAACUAUGGGACUCUGAGCCUUGCUUUAGAGAAUAACAGUGGACAAAUGUGUACCAUAAAAACUAGUUUUUAACAUUCUAACUCAAGCGAAAGCUCUCAGAAUUUCACACUGUGAAUCCAUGUUUACAAACAUUACAGGUGGGCCCUCAGGCCUGGUUCUACCACAACAAUGUCUUCCACUACUCAAACUCCACAGCUCACAUGAAACUGGUUAACAGCUCUCUCCAUUUCCACCAACCUGAACUGCUUCUUGCAGAGGCUGAGAGUCCCCCUUUUUUCAUUUAGAUGUAACAAGCCUAGUAGUUUAUUUUCAUUGAUUGUCUGUAUAUCUCUAUAUUUUAUCCAUGUACUCUUUUGAUGUAUAGAAGUAGUAUGAAACUCAUGGUUUCCUUGUGGUAAGUGAUCGUGAUGCUGCCACGGGAUUUGAGACACUGAUGAAUGGUGCUAUUUUGGACUUUAAAUAUGCUCCUUGGCAAGGUAGCUCUGAUGGAGUUAUUUUUUAUUUCCAUGUUCUGAGAAGGUGUUGGUACUUUGUUUUUCUGAAUGUUGUUCUUUAGACUGGACUGACUUGUUUACUUGUGUCUUCAGUGUGGCUUUCUUAUUCAGUGCUGUAGGUGAGUAACUACUUAUAGCAUACAAGUGAGGAACUGAUUCCCUAUCAGUGUCCACUCACAAACAUGCAGUUACAGUGGGAGCAAUCACAAAACUGUAAUUUACAUAAAAUCUCCUUUCUGACUCCUGUCCACCUUAUGGAGAAAGACGAGCAAUAAUUUUCCACCAACUUCUCAAAGUCUCUUGAUUUUUGUCUUUUUUUCUUACAAGCCUUUUAAAAAGAAGGGACAAGUUUUAAUGUCCUCUUCAAAUCCAAAAAAUAGGGGAUAUAGUAAGAAAAAUACAGCAAAUUUCUGGGAGGAGAAGUCCUAAAGGGGAAGGGUACAUUUCCACAGUCCUGUCAACAUGUGGACUUUACAUUUUUGUUCUUGCUCCCAGACUACUAUCAAUACAAAAUAACACAAACCACAAAACUAAGCAGUACCAUCUACUCAUGGAGUGUUGUUGUGUUAGACACAGUCUGAAAGCCCACCUUAAUUUUUUAUAUAAUUCUGUCUUUUAGCUCUUCCUUUUACAGGGCAGGCCUUGUUCUGAACUGUCUUAGCUUCUGACUGUUAAAUACCAAUGCAUGCACUGCACUUCCUAGAUUUCUUUCCCUUCCCCACCUUCUGUAUCCCUUUCCUUAUACCUUUUAUUUUUCAAUAGAUUAGAUACGUCUGUUGUGCUGUAUAUAGAGCAAGAAGUAAUAUUCAGCAGUCGUGGCAUUUAUGUAUAGUUGUUGUGUACUGCUGAAAAUGCAGGCUUUUGUAACAAUGUGAUCUUUAAUAAUGCACUAUAAGUACCCAAUGUAUUUUAGCUAUUUUAGUAGGAUUUGUUCAAUAAAGACGCAAGCUGUAAGGG